CAUAAAUCAUGAGGAUUAUGAUUCAUUAUCUGAAAAUUUAAGCUGUCUUAAUAACAUGAUAAUGUUUACUAUAAAAUGAAUGCAUUUUUGUGAUACAGCAUAGUUUGAAACGUAUAAACAAAGAGAUCAACAUGAAAUUCUUCCUUGUUGCUGCUGCUUGCUUCGCCGUGGCCGUUGCUGGCCCAACCCGUGGUAUCCUUGAACCCGAAUCAGCUGGUCCAAUCAUCAUUGAUGAAGAUAAUAUCUCAGUAGGCCCUGCUAUUAUCAAGCCCGAAGAGAGUGGAAUCUCCGUUGGACCCGCAUUUGCUGACAACUACUAUCCUGAACAACCCGCUCUGGUUCAGAUUGUGAUCAACAUCAACAAUAAGAGUCAUGUUGUGGAUAUCCCAGUCGGUGGUGAAUCCAUUAACACUGACCCAGCCCUCGUUGUCGACGAAGAGAUCAAACCUGAACCAGUCGACGUCAUCGAUGUAGCCCCUGCUGAAAUCGGACAACCCGAGCUCCCAAUCUUGGUCGACCCCGCACAAAACCUUCCUGAAGCCCUUAACUGAGUUUUAAUUUUACAAACGUGUAUCUGCUUAAAUAUCUAUUUGCAAUGACUUGAUAAACAAAUACAAUGAUUUAUUAUA